AUGAAGGUAUUAAUCCUCCUGCACCAGUUCCCAGUCGAUGUCUUAACACUUACCCUCAUCAUGCAGCAGCUUCUGUUCCUGGCCGUCCAUUAUAUGGAUUUCAUGAUCAAUAUCAUACUCCAUCUCCUGCACUCUAUAGUUAUCUAUCAAGGCAUGCUCCUGCUGUCUAUAACUGAACAAUGUCACAGCGCCCUCCUGAAUAUGAUGCUGUGCCUAAAACGAAGCUCAAGAAGAAAAGCAGGCCUUAUGACAUUCACAAGCUAUCUUAUAAAGUGGCGGCAAUGGAGUUAG
rnacentral:lncRNA from 1 species